GCUGGGCACCAAGGCAAGACAUGAAAACACCUGAUCCCAUUCCGACCUCGAUA
rnacentral:rRNA from 1 species